CGCGAAACCUUUACACUGCACGACAGUGCGAUAAGGGAAUCCCAAGUGCACAGGCAUAGAGCCUGUGCUUUUCUGAACCGUAGGGAGGUUCAGGAACAAGGGCUGGGCAAGACCGGUGCCAGCCGCCGCGGUAAUACCGGCAGCCCAAGUGAUGGCCGAUUUUAUUGGGCCUAAAGCGUCCGUAGCUGGCCGCGCAAGUCUAUCGGGAAAUCUGUCCGCUCAACGGAUAGACGCCCGGUGGAAACUGCGUGGCUUGGGACCGGAAGGCGCGAAGGGUACGUCCGGGGUAGGAGUGAAAUCCUGUAAUCCUGGACGGACCGCCGAUGGCGAAAGCACUUCGCGAGGACGGAUCCGACAGUGAGGGACGAAAGCUAGGGUCUCGAACCGGAUUAGAUACCCGGGUAGUCCUAGCCGUAAACGAUGCCUGUUAGGUGUGGCUCCCACUACGAGUGGGUGCUGUGCCGUAGGGAAGCCGCUAAACAGGCCGCCUGGGAAGUACGUCCGCAAGGAUGAAACUUAAAGGAAUUGGCGGGGGAGCACUACAACCGGAGGAGCCUGCGG
rnacentral:rRNA from 1 species